AUUGAACGCUGGCGGCAUGCUUUACACAUGCAAGUCGGACGGCAGCACAGUGAAGCUUGCUUCUUGGGUGGCGAGUGGCGUACGGGUGAGUAAUAUAUCGGAACGUACCGAGUAAUGGGGGAUAACUAAUCGAAAGAUUAGCUAAUACCGCAUAUUCUCUGAGGAGGAAAGCAGGGGACCUUCGGGCCUUGCGUUAUUCGAGCGGCCGAUAUCUGAUUAGUUAGUUGGUGGGGUAAAGGCCUACCAAGGCGACGAUCAGUAGCGGGUCUGAGAGGAUGAUCCGCCACACUGGGACUGAGACACGGCCCAGACUCCUACGGGAGGCAGCAGUGGGGAAUUUUGGACAAUGGGCGCAAGCCUGAUCCAGCCAUGCCGCGUGUCUGAAGAAGGCCUUCGGGUUGUAAAGGACUUUUGUCAGGGAAGAAGAGGCUGUUGCUAAUAUCGACAACUGAUGACGGUACCUGAAGAAUAAGCACCGGCUAACUACGUG
rnacentral:rRNA from 1 species